rnacentral:rRNA from 1 species
AGGCGGAUAUUUAAGUCAGGGGUGAAAUCCCAGAGCUCAACUCUGGAACUGCCUUUGAUACUGGGUAUCUUGAGUAUGGAAGAGGUAAGUGGAAUUCCGAGUGUAGAGGUGAAAUUCGUAGAUAUUCGGAGGAACACCAGUGGCGAAGGCAGGUUACUGGGCAGUUACUGACGCUGAGGAGCGAAAGCAUGGGUAGCGAACA